UGUCUCCUUUUUUGGGGAUCUUCACUGUGUGCCCGUGUUUUCAAUCAGUGGUGUUUUCUUCACUUUCCCAGAUCUUACCAAGCAGAUCAUACAAGAUGUUGACUGUGAAGUUCGUGUCAGCCUUGAGUGCUUGUGGAGGGAUUGCGUCAGGUCCUGCUGCUUUACCGGACUUAAACAUCUGGAUGACUUUUCUGAUUUCCGUCCUAUUUGGCCACCUUGUGAAAUGGGGAGAGUUGUCUCUGCUGGUGAUAUGGUGAUGGGAGAUGGACAGUGGAAGAGCUCCUUCAAUUUGUCACAUUCGUCCUUCUGGUUUUUGGCUUGCCUGUCUUUACAUUGACUGGGUUGCCCGUAGCCCGAUAUUUACUUGUUGGUUUCGUUGUGGAUUCGUUCAGCUCUUCCAGGUUGUUUUCUUGCGUUCCAUUUACUUUUCUACCAUAUUUCAGAGCUGAAACAAAUUGGAGAAAUGUCAAACAAUUUCUUAAGAUAAAAAAAUACAAACGUACUGAAGUAAAACACCGUUCACGAGAUAACAAUAUCCUUGCAGAAAUCAGUGAUUAUUGUCUUAUUCAUUUAGUGACACAUCCGAAAGCAAAUAUAAGCUUUUUACGCAGUUACAAGAAAGGUGAGGGAGAGUAAGAGAUUUUGCGGCGGAGCGAUGGAGGGACUUGGAAUUCAUUGAGGAAUAUAUAUGAGAUGCUCGGAACAUGAGUUUGUCUCGUAAUAUCUCGAUGUUCAAUUUAGGAUUUUGAUUCUCGAGGGUGGAAACGUCUCCGAGGAAAAUGGGAGGCCUGCAGAAAGCAGCAUGCUUCGAUAUUGCUAUGACCAAUGUGGCCAUCCUCAGACCAGUCAUAGGAGGUUUUUUGGUUUCAUCUCGUUUGAACUGUGCUACAUUCUGCCUGGGAAUUAAAAAAUGUAAGUCUAUAGACACACAUUCCCUUGGCAACCAGACGAUGUGUCAGAUGGCUGCACAGAAGUACCCACGUGUAGAACAUCAAAAAUGGUCGAGAUUAUACUGUAGGAGGUGUGCCGUUAAACAAUACAGAAAGACACUGCCAUCGGUUCCUUUCAUACCCCCUGUGACCUUGGGACGAUUGGAUAAGUGGUUUCGUAAUGGAGAGUACAAACUGCUCGUAUUCUUCUUUUAUGGAAUGAUGAUACAGAAGUCAGUUAAAGUCUUGGUUUACCACGACAAUGCCAAAGACAAUUCUUUCCGAGUUCGAUACAAUUAUUCAGUAGAGAAGCGUCCGUAUAGCUUUCCUCAAUUGCAUGCCGACAGAAUGUGGCUGACCUUGGGAACGUACACGUCAUCAUCAACUGGCCAGCGCCGCUACAAAGUGUUGUUAUAUGAUUCAAAGAAUGGACAACUCUUACUUUCAAUAUUUUGGCAGGCAGGCGAUACAUGUACGCAUUACAACCGAAGAGAUGUAAGGGGAUAUCCGUUCAUAUAUUCACAUGAAAACGAUAUCAUUUUGGUCGACUGCCAAUACAAGAAAAGGUUGGAGGUGAAAAUCUAUAAUAUAACAUUUGAUGCAGCCGUUCUCUACUUAAAUCAAGGACGAACUCUUAUAAAUAUGCCUGACAACGGAGACUGGAGAAGGACAACUCAAUUGCCUGAUUGGAAUUUUUACGUUUUUGGUGGCGAUUCUAAACAACCGAAUAUAGAGAUUUGCCUAUAUUCUCGGCGUCAUAACUUGAGGAGAAUUCAAGGCAGAUUAAAGCUAGGUUUUCCAAAUAUAUCUUUUUCACGUAACAUUCCCCACUAUGACAGUAAAGAACACAUCGUUAUAAUAAGAGACGAAAGGCGGCGUCUGGUGUCAUUUACUGAGGUUCUUGGCGUCUCAACGGACGGUUCCGUACGAAUUCGGCAAUUCUCCCUCAUACCAUCUCCAAGGUAUGCUGUUACUACCUACAUGCACAUAACCCUCAGUCAUUGCAAUGAGAUACUUGGUGUAUGGGAGGAUUUAAAAAAGGAACCUUAUAUUCGACAUCUGACUAGAUACACCGCCAUCGAAAGAGAUGGGUAAUGCGCUGUUAUCUCCUCUCAGUACCUUUCAUAAGAAAACGUCACUGUACUUUUUGGCUGUUGUACGAAAACUACAUGGUCGAUAUCCUCAAAAUUUGAUUUUUCUUAAGUUUAAUUUACGAUCCAUCAUAAAUUCAGCGAUUAGUUACGUAUAUUAACGGACUUUUAACAGUAACAAGUAUACGUAUUUGAUCGCCAAAACGUAGAUGAAAAAGGAAAUUUGGGUCGGAAAGUUAGAUUUAAGAAAAAGCUAUUUUUUGAAAAAAUCAGCCGACUAGUUUUCGCUCAGCGGCCCAAAAGGACAAUGACAUCAUACAUGGAAGGUUGUGACACCACUAUCGCUGCAGCCAAAACGACACAUAGAGCACCAUUAGGUGCAUGUGCAAUUUCACCGUAUAUUGGGACUAGUCUAGCCAGAAUAACCAGCCUAAACCAGACCCUGUUCUUGACUGUGAAUGUCGGUCAAACCAGAGUCUUUCAAUAGGUUUAUAAAUUUAUUGAGAGGCUCUGGUCAAACUAUGGGGGAAACUUAACCAUUAUCAUACGGUGAACCAAGGCUGGAAUCUCCGGAAUCUCUCGGUUCCCGGCCUUGGAUGCUGCAUAAUGAUCGAUGAACCUCGUGUGUGGCUGAUGCACAUCACUGUCUGAGUAUCAAAAGUCUCAAGCCCCGCUCCCCAGCCGCGUCCUAGUAGACACGGUGUUAUAAGGUCAGUUUAUUUAGGUCCGUGCACUGUAUAAGUACAUGUAUUGAAACAACUACAAAAUUUCGAAUUCGAGUUCUAUUUUGAAAUUUUUGAACGAACGAAGAUGCCUUAAAAGAGAAUAUCUGUGAUGUAAACUUUGCUAUGAAUGAUGCUUAGCCUUGGCUGCAGACGGAUGACAAUUUGAACAGAUUCUUGUUAGAUUCUGUAAGACUCUACGUUCAUAUAUCAGAAACUGGUAUCUCAUAGAUAACAAUAUUAGCGGGAGUAUUUGUCCUAUGUCCUUGAUUACAGAAAGAGGACUAUCUUAACAUGAUUCUUGCGAACAUUCUAUAAUAUUGUAAAGACUCUACGCAUAUCAGAAACUGAAUAUAACAGUAAUUCCAUAGAUAAAAUCUCAGCGGUAUGUGUGGGAAACCUGAAUGGUCUCGUGCAAGGGAUGACAUUUCAGUGACGGGGUGUUUUUCAGGGUGAAUAGGCCUAACUGCUCUAAAAAAUCAGUUGAUAAUGCAAUCCUUACUAUAGGAUAACUAUGAUAAGAUACAAUGCGAUUUCAAAUCUCCUCUACUUCGAAAAAAGCCUACCGAUCGUAAGGUAUUGAUCCUUAUCAAUUUCCAACAAGUGUAUCAAUCAAGAAUAGAUGUUGUUGGGCUGUAUCCCCAUUGUUAUCAGUAUAUAUCUCUGCUUUACUGCAGACUGCCUUGUCAGAUUUGUUUCAGAGAUAGAUCCGGCAUCGUAAUCGAUGGCCACCACGGUACACGGGUAUUAGUCGUCCGCAAUUCCAUCCACGCCAGCAUACUCUACCCGCGGACUUGAGAGGUCAGUUUCGCAAUAGUAAAUUCCUCCUUUUUCCGACUGUACAUAGCGUGCCAUAUUUGAUUAGGUAGUGUGCGAAUGGUGAAACGACCAAAAGAAAACAAUACAAAGUGAACAAUCGAAAUAAAAAUUCCAAACAUGAAUUUGAAGAUAAGUUUGGUUGUGUAUCAUAUGCGUUACGUUUACAUAUAAACGUAACGCAGUUACAAAAUCUAAACUGCAUGAACAAAAAACAUGGAGAGAGAAGGCAACUUGUCGUACCCAUUGGGAUCCUAAAAAGACACACUUUGUGGAUUACUUGGCAUGUUGAGAGUUCGUACGUGUUGCGAAUCAGGUUGACGAUCUUUCCUGGAUGCCAUGAUGUUCUAGGUGUCUCCACAGAGUUUGUCGAUCGACGCUAUCAAAUGCUUUUUCAAAGUCAACGAAGAGCUGACACAAAUUGGAGAAAUGUCAAACAAUUUUUAAAGAAAAUUAUACAAACAUACUGAAGUAAAACACACGAGAUAACAAUAUGCUUGCAGAAAUCAGUGAUUAUUGUCUUAUUCAUUUAGUGACACAUCCGAAAGCAAAUAUAAGUUUUUUACGCAGUUACAAGAAAGGUGGGGGGAGAGUAUGAGUUUUUGCGGCGGAGCGAUGGAGGGACUUGGAAUUCAUUGAGGAAUAUAUAUGAGAUGCUCGGAACAUGAGUUUGUCUCGUAAUAUCUCGAUGUUCAUUUUAGGAUUUUGAUUCUCGAGGGUGGAAACGUCUCCGAGGAAAAUGGGAGGCCUGCAGAAAGCAGCAUGCUUCGAUAUUGCUUUGACCAAUGUGGCCAUCCUCAGACCAGUCAUAGGAGGCUUUUUGGUUUCAUCUCGUUUGAACUGUGCUACAUUCUGCCUGGGAAUUCAAAAAUGUAGGUCUAUAGACACACAUUCCCUUGGCAACCAGACGAUGUGUCAGAUGGCUGCACAGAAGUACCCACGUGUAGAACAUCAAAGAUGGUCGAGAUUAUACUGUAGGAGGUGUGCCGUUAAACAAUACAGAACGACACUGCCAUCGGUUCCUUUCAUACCCCCUGUGACCUUGGGACGAUUGGAUAAGUGGUUUCGUAAUGGAGAGUACAAACUGUUCGUAUUCUUCUUUUAUGGAAUGAUGAUACAGAAGUCAGUUAAAGUCUUGGUUUACCACGACAAUGCCAAAGACAACUCUUUUCAAGUUCGAUACAAUUAUUCAGUAGAGAAGCGUCCAUAUAGCUUUCUUCAAUUGCACGCCGACAGAAUGUGGCUGACCUUGGGAACGUACACGUCAUCAUCAACUGACCAGCGCAGCUUCAAAGUGUUGUUAUAUGAUUCAAAGAAUGGACAACUGUUACAUUCAAUAUUUUGGCAGGCAGGCGAUACAUGUACGCGUUACAACCGAGGAGUAG